AUGGAACCUACAAGAUGUACAUCCUUUACUAACUGCUCAUCAACACUUCCAGGGAGCAAUUUGUCAGAUCCAGAGAAGCGGCAGAGAGUUCCCUCGGCAUACAACCGAUUCAUCAAAGACGAGAUUCAGCAUAUCAAGGCCAACAAUCCGGACAUCACCCACAGGGAGGCUUUCAGCGCAGCUGCCAAGAAUGUUGUACUGCAGGUUAAUUAG
rnacentral:rRNA from 1 species